CAACCAGCUGACUCCCGUAGAGGAAGUCACUGUGGGGGCCAGUUCUGGAGCUGUUGUAGCCUCAGUUGCCCGGCCGGGGACCCGAGCUGAACAGUUAUCUUCAGAAUGUCGGGCAAAGACCGAACUGAAAUCUUUCCCUCGCGAAUGGCACAGACCAUCAUGAAGGCUUGUUUAAAGGUAGCACAGACAGGUAGAAACCUCCUGAAGAAAAAAUCUGAUGCCUUAACUCUUCGAUUUCGACAGAUCCUAAAGAAGGCAAUAGAGACUAAAAUGUUGAUGGGCCAAGUGAUGAGAGAAGCUACCUUUUCACUAGCUGAAGCCAAGUUCACAGCAGGUGACUUCAGCACUACAGUUAUCCAAAAUGUAAAUAAAGCCCAAGUGAAGAUUUGAGAGAAGAAAGAUAAUGUAGCAGGUGUUACUUUGCCAGUAUUUGAACAUUACCAUGAAGGAACUGACAGUUAUGAACUGACUGGUUUAGCCAGAGGUGGGUUUAACACUUGGCUAAAUUAAAGAGGAAUUACGCCAAAGCAGUGGAACUACUGGUGGAACUAGCUUCGCUGCAGACUUCUUUUGUUACUUUGGAUGAAGCUAUUAAGAUAACCAACAGGCAAGUAAAUGCCAUUGAACAUGUCAUCAUUCCCCGGAUUGAACGUACUCUUGUUUAUAUCAUCACAGAGCUGGAUGAGAGAGACCAAGAAGAGUGCUAUAGGUUAAAGAAAAUACAGCAGAAGAAAAAGAUUCUAAAGGAAAAGUCUGAGAAGGACUUGGAACAAAGGAGAGCAGCUGGAGAGGUGUUGGAGCCUGCUAAUCUUCUAGCUGAAGAGAAGGAUGAGGAUCUUCUGUUUGAAUAAUCUUUCCUGUUCUGGUUCUUUUAGA